GUGAACGGCCCUCACGGGCUUAUACUAUUCCAAACCUCUGUGAACCGUGCCCUUCGGGGCUAUUUUACAAACAUGGUGUAAUGAACGUCAUAUAUCAUAACAAAACA
rnacentral:misc_RNA from 1 species